CACACACACACAGAGCACCUACACACAGCACACACAGCCCACAAACAGCACCCACACACAUACAUCACCCUCGCACACACAGCACCCACACACAUACAGCACCCAGCACACUAACAGCAUCCUCACAAACACACAAAACCCACACACAACACCCGCACAGCACCCACACACAAACAGCAAACUCACACACAAACAGCACCCUGACAAACACACAACACCCACACACAGCACACAAACAGCAU